rfam:Paramecium tetraurelia chromosome undetermined scaffold_11, whole genome shotgun sequence.
GGCUUGUUAGUAUAUCGGUAGUACGCUUGCUUUGGGUGCAAGUAGGUCGGGUUCAAUUCCCGAACGAGCCC